rnacentral:rRNA from 1 species
UGCCAGCCGCCGCGGUAACACGGGGGGCGCAAGCGUUAUUCGGAAUUAUUGGGCGUAAAGGGCGCGCAGGCGGUCUUGUCCGUCAGGUGUGAAAGCCCGGGGCUCAACCCCGGAAGUGCAUUGGAUACUGGCAGUCUUGAGUAUGGGAGAGGAAAGUGGAAUUCCGAGUGUAGGAGUGAAAUCCGUAGAUAUUCGGAGGAACACCAGUGGCGAAGGCGGCUUUCUGGGCUAUUACUGACACUCAGAGACGAAAGCUAGGGUAGCAAAUGGGAUUAGAUA